AUUGAACGCUGGCGGCAGGCCUAACACAUGCAAGUCGAACGCGAGGCGGACGGGUGAGUAAUGUCUGAGAAACUGCCUGAUGGAGCGGGAUAACUACUGGAAACGGUAGCUAAUAACGCAUAACAUCAGAUGUGGCUCGGGGGGUUUAGCUAGUUGGUGGGGUAACGGCUCAACAAGGCGACGAUCCCUAGCGGUGCUGAGAUGAUGAGCAGCCACACUGGAAUGGAGACACGGUCCAGACUCCGACGGGAGGCAGCAGUGGGGAAUAUUGGACAAUGGGAGGAAGCCUGACGCAGCAAUGCCGCGUGUGUGAAGAAGGCCUUCGGGUAGUAAAGUUCUUUCAGCAGGGAGGUGGUAUCUAAAGAAGAAGCACCGGCUAACUCCGUGCCAGCAGCCGCGGUAAUAC
rnacentral:rRNA from 1 species